AGCAGCCGCGGUAAUUCCAGCUCCAAUAGCGUAUAUUAAAGUUGUUGCAGUUAAAAAGCUCGUAGUUGAAUUUCGGGAUCAAUAUGUUGGUCGUGCCUUUGGUACGUACUGGUAUUAUUGGUUUCUCCUUUCUGAUGAAUCAUGAUGUCAUUAAUUUGGUGUCAUGGGGAAUCAGGACUGUUACCUUGAAAAAAUUGAGUGUUUAAAGCAGGCUUACGCUUGAAUACAUUAGCAUGGAAUAAUGAAAUAGGACGUUUAAUUCUAUUUUGUUGGUUUCUAGGAUUGACGUAAUGAUUAAUAGGGAUAGUUGGGGGCAUUAGUAUUCAAUUGUCAGAGGUGAAAUUCUUGGAUUUAUUGAAGACUAACUACUGCGAAAGCAUUUGCCAAGGAUGUUUUCAUUAAUCAAGAACGAAAGUUAGGGAUCGAAGACGAUCAGAUACCGUCGUAGUC
rnacentral:rRNA from 1 species